GCGAUAAUGGACGAUUGUAUGAACUAAAAAUAAAAUGGCUUUACAAAGUUGCAAGACAACAUACGUUUGAAAAAAGUCUACGGAUAUUAUUUCUAUGACUGUAACGGGACAAGGUGUAUACAGUGGAGUAAUGGAGGUAAAGGGGGCCCUUAGGCAUAUUUGGUGUGAGGGCCCCUGUUGACUGUUGUCAUUGUUUGACUGAGAUGUUAUAUUUAUAUUGAAUAUUUAUAGAAUGGAAAAUUCCGUGUCGGUAACAAUAUAGAUAGCUUAAGAUCUACGACGUCGACGUUAGCUAGGG